rnacentral:rRNA from 1 species
UUAAAGGCGAUGCCUGCCCAGUGAAACAUUUAAACGGCCGCGGUACCCUAACCGUGCAAAGGUAGCGUAAUCAUUUGUCUAUAAAUUGUAGACCAGUAUGAAAGGCCACAUGAGAGCCAAACUGUCUCUUGUAACCWAUCAWUUAAACUGAUCUUCUAGUACAAAAGCUAGAAKAACCACAUAAGACCAGAAGACCCUGUGAAGCUUAAACUAACCUACUAAACAAACUAGUAGCUACUUUCGGUUGGGGCGACCUUGGAACAAAACAAAACUUCCWAACACAAUGAGCCAUCCCUCAKAACUACCAGGCAAACAAGCCAACAUAUGACCCAGUAACACUGAUAACUGAACCAAGUUACUCCAGGGAUAACAGCGCUAUCUUCUUCAAGAGCCCUUAUCAUAAAGAAGGUUUACGACCUCGAUGUUGGAUCAGGACACCCAGGUGGUGCAGCCGCUACCAAGGUUCGUUUGUUCAACGAUUAACAGUCCUACGUGAUCUGAU